rnacentral:rRNA from 1 species
UACGUAGGCAGCGAGCGUUGUUCGGAAUUAUUGGGCGUAAAGGGUGCGUAGGCGGUUUGGUAAGUCUUAUGUGAAAUCUAUGGGCUCAACUCAUAGUCUGCAUGAGAAACUGCCGGGCUUGAGUGUGGGAGAGGUGAGUGGAAUUUCCGGUGUAGCGGUGAAAUGCGUAGAUAUCGGAAGGAACACCUGUGGCGAAAGCGGCUCACUGGACCACAACUGACGCUGAUGCACGAAAGCUAGGGGAGCAAACAGG